UAAGACGUAGGAGACGAGCGUUAUCCGGAUUUACUGGGCGUAAAGCGCGUGCAGGCGGCUCGUUAAGUUGGAUGUGAAAGCCCCUGGCUAAACUAGGGGAGGUCGUUCAAGACUGGCGGGCUAGAGUGCAGCAGAGGAGAGUGGAAUUCCGAGUGUAGCGGUAAAAUGCACAGAUAUUCGGAAGAACACCAGAGGCGAAGGCGGCUCUCUGGGCUGCAACUGACGCUCAGACGCGAAAGCUAGGGGAGCGAACGGGAUUAGAGACCCCGGUAGUCCUAGCCGUAAACGAUGUGGACUUGGCGUGGGUAGGGUAAAGCCUGUCCGUGCCGAAGCAAACGCGAUAAGUCCACCGCCUGGGGACUACGGCCGCAAGGUUAAAACUCAAAGGAAUUGACGGGGGCCCGCAC
rnacentral:rRNA from 1 species